CCUGGAAGAAUUUAUCUGUCUUUUCUGCAAGACUUAUCACCUUCUUCUUAAAAUAACCACCAUCAAUCCAAUUCAAGAUUGGCAUGAAAUCCCCAGGAUUUGAUACCCCUCCAUAACGCACUGCCUCCUUCAUUAUCUCCCUGAACUUUCUUGCUUCUUCCUCAUUACUUACAUCAUCACCAUAAUAGCUCUUCCCUGCAACCAUUCUAAUCAUAAUAUUAAACGUUAGCUCGUUAAACACUGAUUUUAGCUCUACCUUUGCAUAAUCUUGCAUCGAAUGAUGAGAUAGCUUAGUUAAUUGUCUUUUGAUUUCAUCUCUUCGAAUGCUUAGAAGCAUGUUAAGGCGAUGAGUUGAGAAGAUUUCAAUAGCGCCAAUGCGGCGGAGGUUGCGCCAGUGGUCGCCAUACGGUGCUUGCACUAAGGUAGUGUAGUUAUAAGCUAUGUACUUGCCCACGAGUAGCUUUGGACGAUUAGCAAAAACUAUGUCGUUCUUGGUGAAGCAUUCUUCUGCGGCGGAGGAAGAGGAGACAACAACUACAGGACGACAGCCGAAUCGGAGGAAGAUGAUUGAGCCAUAUUUUUGAGCUAGACUGUGGAGAGUGCGGUGCAUGGGCGGUUUUAGGAGGUUGAGGUGGCCGAUAAUUGGAAUCGCCGGUGGGCUUGGAGGGAGAUUUUUACGUCGGAUUCUUGAUUGGUAGAAUUUUAAAGCUAGGAAGAAAAG
rnacentral:misc_RNA from 1 species